rnacentral:pre_miRNA from 1 species
GUAUAGGUUUGAUCCAAAGCCCACUGAAGUCAAUAGGAGUCUUUCCAUUGACUUCAGUGGGAUCAGGAUCAAGGCCUGUAAGAAU